rnacentral:rRNA from 1 species
AAUUUGACCUCAAAUCAGGUAGGACUACCCGCUGAACUUAAGCAUAU